GACGUAGGAGGCGAGCGUUGUCCGGAUUCGUUGGGCGUAAAGAGCACGCAGGCGGUUUGGCAAGUCGGAUGUGAAAACCCGAAGCUCAACUUUGGGCCUGCAUCCGAAACUGCCCGACUAGAGGUAGGUAGGGGAGAUCGGAAUUCCUGGUGUAGCGGUGAAAUGCGCAGAUAUCAGGAGGAACACCGGUGGCGAAGGCGGAUCUCUGGGCCAUUACUGACGCUGAGGAGCGAAAGCGUGGGGAGCGAACAGG
rnacentral:rRNA from 1 species